AUCGAGUAGAAAAAGUGGGUCAUCAGAGUUUUAUGCAUCCUCAGCCACCCCAUCAAGAACACCAACGAUGCCAACUCCUGUCAGAUCAUUAUUCCACAGAACCAAGUCAAUCGAAAGUCUGAUAUCUGUGUUUGUAUGAUCUCCUCUGCACACAAUGUGGCAGUGCAAGGAAAGUACAUGGCCAUUGUUAGUACAACUGUGGAAACCAAGGAACCUGAAAAAGAAAUCAGACCAGCUUUGGAGCUCUUGGAACCAAUUGAAUAAAAAUUUGUUAACAUCAGUGACCUUCUUGUACCAAAAUAUUUGGGAGAAGAGAGCCAGAUCUUUAUUUCCUGCACAUAUGAUGCCACAACUCACUUUGAGACAACCUGAGAUGACAUUAAAGACAUCUAUAGGAGGAUGACAGGAUCUGAGUUUGAUUUUGAGGAAAUGAAGCACAAGAAAAAUGACAUCUAUGGGGAAGACUAACAGCAGUACGUGUUAAUAUCUAAUUAGGACAAAUAUAAAAUUUGACAAAUAAUGCAUAUUAUAUAAAAUCAAAUUUGUAAGGCCUGCUUUUGUAAUCAGAAUGGAGAGAUUGAAGAGCAUUGUACCAGUAAAUACUGUUCCCCUUCAUCUUUCUAAUAUCAUGUAUUAACUUGUUUUCUUGGAGUGGCUAUUCAGAAUUGACCAGUUACCACAUUCUGUUCAAUUUAACUGGACUGGCUUUUUUUUUUUUUUUUCCCUAGUGAAGGAGCAGUUUUAGACAUUGUGAUAUCAAUAUAGAAAACUUGAUAAUACAGUAUUUGUAUCUUUUAAUCAGA
rnacentral:lncRNA from 1 species